UAAUACGGAGGAUUCGAGCGUUAUCCGGAUUUAUUGGGUUUAAAGGGUGCGUAGGCGGUUCGGUAAGUUAGUCGUUAAAUCGCGGGGCUCAACCCCGCAAUGGCGAUUGAUACUGUCGGACUAGAGAUUGGUUGCUGUGGGCGGAAUGUGUAGUGUAGCGGUGAAAUGCUUAGAUAUUACACAGAACACCAAUUGCGAAGGCAGCUCACAAAGCCAUAUCUGACGCUGAGGCACGAAAGCGUGGGGAUCAAACAGG
rnacentral:rRNA from 1 species